rnacentral:pre_miRNA from 1 species
UGUUUGUAUGUAAGAAUUGGAGGAAAUUAAACCCAAUGACUAAAACUAUUAAACAGCUUUAUCGUUGGGUUUAAUUUCCUCCAAUAUCUUACAUCCGGUAU